rnacentral:rRNA from 1 species
UACGUAGGGGGCAAGCGUUGUCCGGAAUCAUUGGGCGUAAAGAGCGUGUAGGCGGCUUGGCAAGUCUGACGUGAAAGCCCGCGGCUCAACCGCGGAUUGUCGUUGGAAACUGCCUCGCUAGAGUCCGGAAGAGGAGAGCGGAAUUCCUGGUGUAGCGGUGGAAUGCGCAGAUAUCAGGAAGAACACCCGUGGCGAAGGCGGCUCUCUGGGGCGGUACUGACGCUGAGGAGCGAAAGCGUGGGGAGCGAACAGG